GGAUGGGUGCUGGGGAGGGAUCAGGGGGUGGAGGGUACAAGGUUGGGAAUUGCAGGGAGGGUUUUUGGAGUUAAAAGUUGAAGAGAAGGCUGUUUGGGAGCUGUCCCCUUUGGGCAAGUAAAGGCAGGGGGUUACUCUUCAGCACAACACUAGCGCGUGCCAGGCAGGGCAGCUCCAGGCUGUGUGUGUGUCAUUGCAUAGCUCGCGUGGUGCGUCGUCUCCUGUGUCUCAGACCCUCCUUGGGUCCCACGCUCCUCUUUGUGCUCCAGGAGCACAGCACUCGUCAUCAUCCGCAUCCAUCAUUGUGCCUCAUCCUUAGGUCUUUACCAUCCAUGCUCAUCAUCAUAUGCCGAUCGGGUGCAUCUCUUCUUGCCUUACCCCAAAAGCACAGCUCGGCCUCGUGACUUGGGCGCAUCCUCUUUUGCGCCAAGGUCGUGGUUGGUGUCAUCAGCACCAGCCUGGAGCCUUCUCUUUCACAGGGAGGCCUUUUUCUGGGUGUUUCUCCCUGAGUCCUUGCGUUCUUAGGUCUUAGCAAGGCUUUUUGUGCAUCCAUCAGUUUUGGUUUUGACUGUAGCUUCUUGUCACAGAUUGUGAUGUUUGACGCUUUCUCUGAGGCUGCCUUAUGGUCUUUUUACUGCUGAAAUAAAAAAAUUGAUUGUUUAUGGGAAUAUUUGGAUCAAUAUGUUAAUUAAAGGCAUAUAGUUCACACUGAAUACAUGUUAAAGAUUGGGCAAACUGACAACUGCUUGACCCAAGUGACUUGACUUUUGGGAUGACUUGUGACUUGACUUACUGUGAGUAGCUGGAGUGAUAAGGCCUUAGGCUGCAAUUCUAAUUAAUAUUUAGCUGAACUUGCUGUAAUGAACCUUAGUUAGAAUUUCACUCUACCAGCUGUAAUAAUAUUGAAACAAGAUGUAGACAACAAGAUAAUUACUUGGAAUAAUCUUCUGCAAUGGGAAGAGGCGUUGACGAAAUUUAAGUUGGAUAAAUUGGACAAAAUCAGACUGUGGAAGAAUUUUCCAGCUGCGAAACAAGUGGAAGAGGACAAAGAGAAAUUGUCCAGACAAGAAAUCACUGAUGGUGAACGGGCACCCUCAGAGGAGGACAGAACCCAUCAGAAUGGGAUGAUGUCAUCACUGUGGGAGGUAAUAGGAUGAACAGGUGCAUGUACCAGCAUGUGGUCAGACUGUGAGCCUUUAAAAGGUACAAAUACAGUCCAGGUGGGGUCACUCUCCAGAGGCACCCAGCUACAGCUGCAAUUAACAGAUUCUGUGGCAGAACCCAGGGUCUGAGCUUCUCUUUAUGGUCAGAGGCAAAGAUGGGAUCCAGCUGCACCUAAGCUUCUUCCUGAGACGAAGUUUAGAAACCAAGGAGGUCCUGUCUGAACUGCACAACUUGACAGGAGGGACUUCCUGGACUCUUCAACUGUUACCUCAUGCUCGCAGUCCUAUAUGUCUGGGUGCCAUCUGCGUUGCAGGAGUAACUUUUCUUGCUGGGAGUUUCCUCUCAUGCUUGUGUCACAUCCUUUGUGUUUGUGUGUUGUGUCUCUGUGCUGUUGGGUUGGAGCUGCUCUCUCUGGAGGCUGUAGCAGCUGUGGGGUUGGGAGAAGAAUAGCAAGGAGAGCCUGUGGUUCAUGUUGCUGUGCUGCCUGUGCCUGUUGGGGUGCAGAUGGAGCAUUUGAAGUGAAGUAGCAGCCCUCAGCAGGGGAGGGUAGUCAUUUUCAUAGUGUUUUUGAGAAGGGGUGGCUGGAGCCAUAGCCAAGCAGGCUGGGUGUCCAGGGUGUUAAGGCCUGAAUGUGUGGGGUGUAAUGUUCACCUGUUUUUUAGCUCCCUUGUAGGUAGUUAGGAUCUCAAAGAUGUUCCUAAAUGGGAAUCUCUGGAAUUGCAUCCAGCUGAUUGCUUGUUACUGCUUUUUCAGAUGCAGGGAGAGGAGCCACGCAGCAGAGGGUGAUGGAGGAGAGGAGCAGAGCGUGGUGAGGAGCUGGGUCGGUGCGUAUUGAAGAGUCUGGGUGAGUUGUCCCCUGGGUUGUGAGGGAAGGUGUGAGUGGUGCCUCUAUCGACUGGCUCAUGGUUUGGGUUUGUUUUGUAGGUGCAAAGCACCGAGGGAAGCGGGAGAUCUGCACUGGAGGUGACUCAAGCAAGGCAGCACACAGGGCUGGACGUGGCACCCUGUGACCAUCAGAGGACGGACAGGUGAGCCACGAAGUUUUGCAGCCUUGGAGCAGUGGAGCAGCAUGCCAAGGGGCCAUCUGUGGAGAUGACACAGGCAUCAGCCAGAUGCUACAAGCAAGGAUGGCCUCAGCAUCUGAUUCUGGAACCAGCAGAUCACUAUGAGGAGCCUGGCGAUGGCAGGAACAUCCCGGCAAGGAUGGCUUGUCGAGGAGGAAGGCUGCGGAGCCCUGGCCAUCUGAAAGCUAAGUGGAGGGGCUGGGA